AAAGGCUGUGGCUAGGUUCAAGUAAUCCAGGAUAGGCUGUAGGUACUGCAAUCAGCCUGUUCUCGAUUACUUGGCCUUGGAGGCAGCCAGCA
rnacentral:pre_miRNA from 1 species